CCUGGUUGAUCCUGCCAGUAGUCAUAUGCUUGUCUCAAAGAUUAAGCCAUGCAUGUCUCAGUACAAGCCAAAUUAAGGUGAAACCGCGAAAAGCUCAUUAAAUCAGUUAUGGUUCCUUAGAUCGUACCCACAUUUACUUGGAUAACUGUGGUAAUUCUAGAGCUAAUACAUGCAAACAGAGCUCCGACCGGAGACGGAAGGAGCGCUUUUAUUAGAUCAAAACCAAUCGGUGGCGGGCUUGCUCGUCAUCGUACAAUUUGGUGACUCUGAAUAACUUUAAGCUGAUCGCACGGUCUCGCACCGGCGACGCAUCUUUCAAAUGUCUGCCUUAUCAACUGUCGAUGGUAGGUUCUGCGCCUACCAUGGUUGUAACGGGUAACGGGGAAUCAGGGUUCGAUUCCGGAGAGGGAGCCUGAGAAACAGCUACCACAUCCAAGGAAGGCAGCAGGCGCGCAAAUUACCCACUCCCGGCACGGGGAGGUAGUGACGAAAAAUAACGAUACGGGACUCAUCCGAGGCCCCGUAAUCGGAAUGAGUACACUCUAAACCCUUUAACGAGGAUCAAUUGGAGGGCAAGUCUGGUGCCAGCAGCCGCGGUAAUUCCAGCUCCAAUAGCGUAUAUUAAAGUUGUUGCGGUUAAAAAGCUCGUAGUCGAAUCUGUGUCCCACGCCGCUGGUUCAUCGUUCGCGGUGUUAACUGGCGUGUCGCGGGACGUCCUGCCGGUGGGCUUAGCUCGUAAGAGCGGUCCAAUUUAAUCCCGCCGCGGUGCCCUUCACUGGAGUGUCGAGGUGGGCCGGCACGUUUACUUUGAACAAAUUAGAGUGCUUAAAGCAGGCCAAAAAUUCGCCUGAAUACUGUGUGCAUGGAAUAAUGGAAUAGGACCUCGGUUCUAUUUUGUUGGUUUUCGGAACCCCGAGGUAAUGAUUAAUAGGAACGGAUGGGGGCAUUCGUAUUGCGACGUUAGAGGUGAAAUUCUUGGAUCGUCGCAAGACGGACAGAAGCGAAAGCAUUUGCCAAAAACGCUUUCAUUGAUCAAGAACGAAAGUUAGAGGUUCGAAGGCGAUCAGAUACCGCCCUAGUUCUAACCAUAAACGAUGCCAGCUAGCGAUCCGCCGAUGUUCCUCCGAUGACUCGGCG
rnacentral:rRNA from 1 species